AUACGUAGGGUGCGAGCGUUGUCCGGAAUUACUGGGCGUAAAGAGCUCGUAGGUGGUUUGUCGCGUCGUCUGUGAAAUUCCGGGGCUAAACUCCGGGCGUGCAGGCGAUACGGGCAUAACUUGAGUACUGUAGGGGAGACUGGAAUUCCUGGUGUAGCGGUGAAAUGCGCAGAUAUCAGGAGGAACACCGGUGGCGAGGGCGGGUCUCUGGGCAGUAACUGACGCUGAGGAGCGAAAGCAUGGGUAGCGAACAGGAUUAGAUGCCCUGGUAGUCCAUGCCGUAAACGGUGGGCGCUAGGUGUAGGGGUCUUCCACGACUUCUGUGCCGUAGCUAACGCAUUAAGCGCCCCGCCUGGGGAGUACGGCCGCAAGGCUAAAACUCAAAUGAAUUGACGGGG
rnacentral:rRNA from 1 species